ensembl:lincRNA
UUGCGUGGCCUCUGCAGCCUCGGGGGCUGUGGGAAGGGGAAACGCGGGGGAUGUCGUGGGGGGCGCUGAAGGUGGCCGCAGGGGCAGCCAGGGGACGCCGCGGCUGCUGGGGACAGUGGCGGGGCCCCGCAGCCUUCCGGGAGCGGGCGCGGGGCCCGUGCCUCGGGUGCGUGUGUGUGCAGCCGUGUGCACGCGGGUGUGGGCGGCCGAGGCUGCGCACGGAGGCUCUGCCGGCCGCGCCAGCCGGAGCCGAGCAGCUGGGAACCCGGGCCCCGGGUCCGAGAAGGACUGGAGAGCGCGGCGCCUGGGACCGCUCCUGGGACGCGCCUUCCAGCGCCUUCUCCCGCAAACGCACUGGACCAGCAGCUCACCCCGGGGAUAAUACCCGCUGCCCGUGCGCGUCUCGCUCAGUGACGGCGUGGGAGGCCACCGCGGAGAGCCCACUGCGGGGUCACGGCCGCUGCGCACAGCCUCUGUCUGGCUCUGGUGCAGGAGGCCUAGUUGCGUCACCUCCCUUUCCUUCAUCUGUUUGGCUUGAUUCCUGGGCCCCACUGGAGGCACUUAAUGCAAGAAGUAAAUAUCAUCCCCAUUUUACAGAUGCAGAAGCAUUGUCCAGAUGUGAACCAAGAUUUGGCCUUUUCACCAAGAGAAAAGGGAAGGCUCAUGGGCAUGGGCACACAGUGCUGAGAUCGUGGGCACACAUACUGGGGAUUGAACCCAGGGGCCUCAUGCAUGCCCGGCAAGCGCUCUACCACUGAGCUACUUCUUCAACCCAGUAAACUAGUUUUAAACAGAUGGCAUUCAUGGUGUUUUUGUGUCAUUUCUCUAUUCUGUGUCAUUUCUUUCUUGAAAGAUGACUUAGGUCCAGAUAGUGAACUGUUAGGAACAUGCAAGGUUUAUAUAACCCAUCCACAUAAACUGAUCUACACACACAUGCUGCAGUUCCUCUACCCAAGAAAGCUCUGGUUCUGUUUCUGACAGAUGCCCUGAGGCCACCUGUUUCACCAUUUUUAUCAGACUCGAUGAGACCCUCUGACAUCUCUCUUCCUUUCCCCUUUGUACCAUCCCCGACCACACACAAAAAGUGUCACCCCCAUGCACAUUAAUCUAGUUGCAAGUGGAAGAAAUCCAAAAUGAACCAACUUAAGAAAAAAAAGUUUUUUCCCCUUUGAUUAUUUAACUAGAAAGUCAAAGGUGAGCUUCAGGCAUGACUAGAUUCUGGGGCUAAAAUGAUAUCAUAAAGGCUCUCUUGGCCCUUUCUCUGUUCCUUUUGGUUUUUUUUUUUUUUUUUUUUGCUUUUUCUAUGUACUGAAAAACUUGAUUCUUGGCAGUCUCAAAUUUAUGACCUUCUAGCUGUCUUCUAGCAUCUCAGCUAAUCACUACGACAGGAUUAGGGCUAGGGAUUUCACAAUUGAGCAGGUCCCUGUCUCAGGCCCACGCCUGGGAUGGAGAAGUAAACUGUCCCUCCAUCAACUCAUGGGCUUCCCCACCCACUGCUGCUGGGGAUCAGACCCAUGCCUUGAGCAUGCUGGGCCAUCCCCGCACACUGAGCUGCAUGCCCAGCCCUGCCCUGACCGCAGGGUGGGCAAGUGCAGAGGACUAGGCAGGCAGAAAUGCUAGACGACUACCGGAGGUGUGCCUCUGUGCACAGGCACAUGUGCUUGCAUGUGUGCUCAUAUCUCACUUCUUCAAGGCCCUUCCAGAACCUUCCAACUGGAAUGAAUCCACUGGUCUUGCUUGUACGUCACGCGCUGUUUUCUGGGUGGCGCAGCACCCACUGUGCUCUGCACUCCUGCCAUGCCUCUGCAUCUUCCUUUUGGGCUGCCCUUGCCCUCUGCUUCCUGUGGCUAUCUUUUGGACCAAGUCAUGCUUCUUCCAGAAGCCUCCGGACCCCUUCAUUGAGUUAGAUACCCCCUCUCUCUGAGCACACCCUAUAGUAGAUUUUUAUUUCUAUUUGGUAACUGUUUACCAUUCUGUUCUCCACUAAGCAGAACCCUUUUUUUGUAUUCCUUACCUCCUACUCUUAGCUAGCAUUAUUUUUCUUCAGAGCACACACAAUCACUUGGCUUUCUAUAUUUAUUUGUUUAUUAUUUUUCUCUCCUCUUUGGAACAUCAGCUUCAUGAGAACAACCAGGAAAGGAACAUUGCCUUGUUUGAUAUCCCUAGUGCCUAGGAUGAUGCCCAGCACAUAGUAGGUACUCAGUUAAUGUUUAGUAAAUGAAUGAAUGAAAAUUUGCCCAGAGGAAGAAAAUGCUAGCAUCAUGUUACUAAGGAUUCUAGUCAGCAUGAUAGGUGGAGUCUCAUUGUAAAGGUCUGACUCUGAGUAUUGCAGAUCAUCCCCAGAAGGCAGAACCUUGCUCUCCAUGUGGGUCUGAACCUGCAGAGAUCAGGCCCAAGGAGAAGCUUACUGGGCAUUCCGCCCUGUGUGGACAUAGACCUGAUUUACUCUCAAACGCUUCUGAGUCUCUCUGGUUUUUUUGUUUUUGAGAUGAGGUUUCCCUGUGUUGUUUAGGCUGGCCUUGAACUUCUGGGCUCAAGUGGUGAGCCUCCUUGUGCAGUGUCCCAAGUACCUGGGACUACAUGCACAUGCCACCACACCCAGCUCCUUUCUGAACUUUGAUAGGUUGUUUAUUAAGGGUUUUUUUUUUUUCCCCAUAUCCUAAAGCUUUUUCCUUGGAUAUUUAUUUUUGCAGUGAUAGGGAUUGAGCCCAGGGCACUGUACCAUGGUACUACAAUCCCCAGCCUUUUUUUUUUUUUUUUUUUGGAGAUAGGGUCUUUCUAAGUGCUAAGGCUGCCUCAAAUUUGCAAUCCUCCUGCCUCAGCCUCCCAGGUAGCUGGGAUUACAGGCAUGUCCCACUGCACCUGUCAGGAGUAUUUAUUUUUAAAACAUUUCCUUGGGCACCUACAAUGUGCCAGGCACUGUUCUAAGCUCUUUAUAAAUAGCAACUCAUUCCUAGGAUGAGGUUUUGGGGUCAAGGGUUAUGAACUUUAAGACUUGUUUUCUUUUUAAAUAUCAAGACACUCAUGAAAGGACAAUAGGAAAUAAAACAUUCCCAUUUUAAAAUUAUGAAAGAAGGAAGGUCUCUCCAUCGGUUCAUCCUGUCCCCCAGAAAUAGAGCCACCAGUUACAGUGGGAUGACACAUCCCUUUCCUUAGGGCAGUAAGCACAAGUUACUGCACCGUCAUCAUGCACGCUGACCUGCACCUGGCCUUUGCCAUUGCUGACGUCAGUGUGACAUCAGUGGCACCCACUGCCACUGUCCAGAGCAGAGCCUCCUUUCCCUGGGCCGUGUGCAGAGCCUGUGGGGGACCGGUGGCUCUUCAAGGCAGUGGUGCUCAAGCAUCUGACUUCAGCCCCCUCUUAGGGGGAGCCCAAAUCCACCCCCCCACUCCUCCACAGCACACCAUCUGCCUGGGUUAGUGCUGUGCCUUAACUCGGGGGAAUCCCACCCAGUCCAAGCCCACCUGCAAUACCACAGACAAAGGGAAAAUAUCCCUGUCUUUCCUUUUAACAAUAACAGAAAAGUAAUUCUCAUGCAGAUACAGACUUAAGGUGAGAGGAUUCUUGUUUAAGUCCACUCUCAACCCCAUAUCUCCAAGCUCCAGUUCCAGGCCAGCUGCAGUACUCAUUAGAGUGCUUAGUCCUGAUUGCUUCCUAAAAAGCAAGUACAGGUUGAGUAUCCCUUAUCCAAAACGUGUGGGAGCAGAAGUGUUUCAGAUAUCAGAUUUUGGAACAGAUGCAUACACAUCCUGGGGAUGGGACCCAAAACUAAACAUGAAAUUUCACUUACAUUUCAUAUAUGCCUGGCCUGUUUUAGCCAGCUUUUUCCCUGCUGUGACUAAAAGGCCCAACCAGUACAUUCCAUUCCUCAGGGCUCAAGGCGAGGAAGGACAUGAUGGUGGAAGAGUGUGGUGGAGGGAAGCAGCUCACUGAUCAUCAGGAAGCAGAGAGAUCUCCACUUGCCAAAUACAAACAUGUACCCCAAACCCACGCCCCCAGUGACCCACCUCCUCCGGCCACCACUAGUUACCUCUCGGUUAAUCCCAUUAGGGGUUAUUUUGUUGAUUACUUAAGGCUCUCACACCCACAUCAUUUCCCCUGUGAACCCUCUUGCAUUGGCUCACACUUGAGUUUUUUGGGGACACUUCACAUCCAAACCGUAACAGCCCAAAUGAACUUCUAUACGAUUUUUAAAUUAAUUUGUGCAUGGAAUAGCAUUUCAUGGUAGGAAUUUUCCAUUUAUGGCAUCAUAUCAGAGCUGAAAGGUUUCAUAUUUUGGAGCAUGUUGGAUUUCCGAUUAUCAGAGAAGGAUGCUCAGCCUGUUCCCGUUCCCACUGCCGUCGGCGAUGCCUGAGCACUGGAUGUGUAUCUCCCACCUGCCUUCUCUGAAACUGGCCAUUAUAACUAAAAAAAAGGAAAAUCUAACUCAAUUGAAAAUGGUAUUUCAUGGUAAUUUGUAAGUGAACAUUUUUUGCUUAUCUUACUACUUUUAUUUC